UACGGAGGGGGCGAGCGUUAUUCGGAAUCACUGGGCGUAAAGCGUGCGUAGGCUGUUUCACAAGUUGGAAGUGAAAGCCCAGGGCUUAACCCUGGAAUUGCUUUCAAAACUGUGAGACUCGAAUCUCGGAGAGGAUAGCGGAAUUUCCAGUGUAGUAGUGAAAUACGUAGAUAUUGGAAGGAACACCAGUGGCGUAAGCGGCUAUCUGGACGAGUAUUGACGCUGAGGCACGAAAGCGUGGGGAUCAAACAGG
rnacentral:rRNA from 1 species